rnacentral:lncRNA from 1 species
UUGGACAUUCAUAGUUACUUGGGACAACAGUUUUAGCAGGGCUCUCUUUCUCCUUUCCUGAUCUCUCUGUUAAGCUGCCUGGCUCAUUUGAUAUCACAUCCAAAUUAUCAGCUGAUUGCUCUAUUGUUUUGGACAAUGCCCUGAAGCAUACCAAAAUGUGUCUGGAAUUGGUGGGUUCUUGGUCUUACUGACUUUAAGAAUGAAGUUGCGGACUUUUGCGGUGAUCCACCCUACCACAUAUUGUCUCCUAAUGGCCGUCCAGUUUAUCCUGGAGCCCUUGCAUGACACAGGCCUAUCGAAGCAUAGGAGAUGCCAAUAUUUUACCUCUUGGGUACUUUCUGUGUAGAAGAUUCAUAACAAGAACAAUACUUAUUCUGCAAUUCUUUAUAUAAAGCUAAAAGAAAAUGCAUUCUGCCAACAACUAAUGAGCUUGGAAGAGAACUCCAAACCCCAGAAGAGGCCUGUCACAUUGGCUAACACCUUGAUUUCCACCCACUGAGACCUUGAGCAGAGACUUCAGUUACACCCCACCCAGACUUCUGACCUGCAAAACUUAAGAAGAAAGCCCAAAGACAAAACCAGAGGCAACUGGCUGCUGCAUCGCCCACCUAGUGGCAGUAGUGUGAGCUAUGGACAAAAGAUCUAAGUCUCCAGGACAAAGAGUUGUGCAGCUGCUCAUUUUCCUGUUGACUUCUGUCUAAGACUUGGAGAUGUUUGUAAGAUUGGGACCUACCUACAGAGGUAUCACACUCCUCUUGGUCUAACUCACUCUUGAACUGACAUUCGUGGUGA